CUUAGAACUGCAUUGGUCCAUGGUGGCUAUGCCACUACCAAUUCUUUUGGAGUAUGUCCUCUAGAAUCAGCAACCCCAUCGCCAAGCUGGCUAUUGGGACCCCAUUGCCUGGCUAUUGGGACCUGCCUGGCCCAAUAGCCAGGCAGGUCCAGCCACGGGUUGGGAAUUUUCUUGAGGAUCCCAAGCCUCAUUGUUGGUUUCUUUGUCUAGGUUCCAAAGCCUCAGUUGGGUUGCUUCAUCCUGGUUCCCAAGCCUUAUUGUUGGUUUCUUCUUCUAGGUUCCAAAGCCUCAGUUGGGUUGCUUCAUUGUGGUUCCUAAGCUUGUUCUAGUACAAGUACAGUAUAAGUGCAUCAGAUAGGCAACACCACGCUGCCUGAUGUGCCGAGUAUAUAUGGUAGUUGGUUUUGUUAUUGUUCUUGAGUAUUGCUUUUCUUGUCUGCCUUUAUAAUAUGUAGUUGUGAAAUUGCACCAUCAUUUUGCCAUGAG
rnacentral:lncRNA from 1 species